GGGUUGUGAGGUUAAGCGACUAAGCGUACACGGUGGAUGCCCUGGCAGUCAGAGGCGAUGAAGGGCGUGCUAAUCUGCGAUAAGCGCCGGUAAGGUGAUAUGAACCGUUAUAACCGGCGAUACCCGAAUGGGGAAACCCAGUGUGAUUCGUCACACUAUCAUUACGUGAAUACAUAGCGUAAUGA
rnacentral:rRNA from 3 species